GCAUUGGUGGUUCAGUGGUAGAAUUUGCACUUGCCAUGUGAGAGGCCUGGGUUGGAUUCCCAGCCAAUGCA